UCAUUUCUCACCACAACCCCAUGAAGGGGUUGCUAUUCUUGUCCUCAUUUUAAAGAUGGAGGAACUGAGGCACAGAGAGGUGAAGUAACUUGCCCCAGGUCACCCAGCUAGUAAGUGGCACGGCCAGGAUUUGAACCUGUGCCCUCUGGCUCCGUGCUUUUGUUCACUGAGCUGUGCUGUCCCUCAGGAAGCAAGAAGUGGUGGUAAGAAUUUAUUGGGAAGGUAACUUCAUCCUGGGGAGAGUUCUCCAGGAAACAGUAAAACGUGAAUAAAGAGGAGAGCCUUUGGCACGCUGGGCCCAGGCCGGUCCCCAGGACCCACCGUGAGGAAAGCAGGAGGCCUUUCCCGGCCAGUCCAGACCCCGACACCUCCUAGAAUGUUGCAGCCACAGCCUGGAGACCAUCUCUCUCACCCCUGGCUCAGAGAAGAGAGACUCCCAGGCCCGCCCUGUCCCAGCCCCUCGGCCAAGCGUCCCAGGAGGAACAGCCGCAGGCACGUCUCACGUCACUGCACAGCCAUCCGUGGGGCGGAGCUGCUGCCACCAGCGCUGCUCCAACACACCCAGGGCCCCUGGUCUCCAGCCACGACCACUCCACCAUCUGCAGCUCGAGCCCACCGUCCGGAUGGGCCGUCCCGGAUCUGCAUCCCUCGCCCUCCAUCGCCCCUCCUCCAGGUCCACUUCCGGCUUUGGCACCAGCUGGACGACGGAUCAGAUCCAGGUCAGAUCUGAGCCGCGCUGGGCGGCCCAGCAAGGUGUGUCCCCGAAGGGCGAGGAGGCGCCGUGUCCCUGAAAACACCUCUGCAGUUCAACCAGGAUGCCCUGUCUCCCUGCGGCCAGGCUCCGGAGAGCAUCACCACGCGCCUGCUGUCCCUUGGACCCUUCCCAGCUCUUUCACAACCGGCCCCUCCCCACCUGUUUCUUUUUAAAAAGGGGGAAGGAAGGAAGGGUGGUGGGGAAUAAAAACAGAGACAAGAAGAAAGCGCCAGCCCAUGCUUGACUCCUGCUUGGGGGCCUCAGAGCAGAACCAAGGGCCAACCAUCCCCUGAGACCUGCCUGAUGUGGGACAUUGGGGCCUGUACGCAGUGAGAGGUGCUGACCCUCCUGCUGAGUUUAAGGCUGUCCUGGGUGGUUGUCAGGACACCCCGGGCAUUGCAGCCACACAUGUGGAGCCAAAGCCUGGCCACAAGCAUUAGGGGCCGGGGCCUCUCACCACUCACCGUGCCAGCUUGACAUAAUGGCCCCAGCCCUGGUGUCACCUCCUCAGCACGCCUUCUCUGUGACUGUCGGUGAGGGGGCUGGGCAGGGAUCUUCCUGCUGCUUCUGUCCCACCAUCACCCAGUCCCCCUCCCAACACAUCCUGGGCCACCAGCCUUCCGCACCCGGGACCCCGAGGUUCAGCUGCCUGAAUGGACUUGCUUCCUGCCCAGCAGAAACUCAAACUGAUACUCUCCCAUCUGCUGACCAUUCACCACUUAUCCAUCCACUUUCCAGCUUUGCAACGUUCUUAACGUCUCUCAUGCGCCAAUGUCCCUUUUCCUUUCUUCUGUCCUCACCAGUCCUCACUUAGCGGGAUUUCAGAAGGGGCAGCGCAGUCCUGCAUCUUUAACCACAAGUCCUCUGUCAACAGGGACAGCUCCAGAAUUUCUACAGAGGAUGGUCUGAGGGCAGCAGUCAGGGCAGGGAAGGAGGUUGCCUAGGGAUAUGGUCCUAAAGCAGCUUUUGCUCAGCAAGUGCACCUUUUUUUUUUUUUUUUUUUUUUGGUGUAUGCUCUAUUUAGAUUGUAUGCCAGACAGGAUCCUGGCAGGUAACAGAGGACAUCUCCGAUUGAGUAACCUGAGGAGCAUUUUUUAUGGAACGAUUUACAAAAAUACAAGCAGAACUUUUAAAGGAAGCAGUAGAGGUAGCAGAGUGUUCCACAUUAUUCUAACGACCACCGGGAGAUGUCACCCAAGUCCUGAAAGGGGCGUGGGGAUAGCUCAUGGGACCUGGAGAGAGGGAGCUGGCUUCCAGGCUGGGAUCUGCAGGAGCAGAAGCUGAGAUGAAGUUGAGGUGCCAGGUGUUUGUUAAGGAGGCAGAUGGCAGAGGUGAAAUCCAGCUGUUACAGGCCCACUGCAGCCUCAGCCAGCCCUGUGGGGAGCUCAAGAGCAAGGGGUGGCCAUGAGACAAGCCUCCAUGCCGGCCUCUCAGUCACCAAGAACUUGACCAGACAAGAUGGGUCUCCACCAGGGACAGACCCAGAAGGCUGCUGACCAUGCCCUGCUGCUGGGCCACGGUCUUUCCUGGAAGGGAAAAGCCAAUACCGAGACCAUCAGUAGGAGGGUGCAUCCAGAUGACAGCCGCACGUGGAGUAGGGAGCCAGGUGGCCUCCCUCACCUUCUGCCCCUUCUACUCUCCCUCCAACUGUCAACCCUGCCCAAAGUCAGAGAGCAGGAAGCCCUGGCAUCCCACAGGGCAGCCUCCUGCCACACUCCUGCAACACUGCAACGCAGCUCCAUCCUGCAUGGCAAGGAGGGCAACGGUGGCAGUUAGCCAACUCAGCCACCAACAAAGCACGGCCAUCCCCAAAAGACCUAGGACUUAACCUCCACCACCACCACCACCAUCAUCAUCACCAUCAUCACCAUCACCAUCAUCAUCACCAUCAUCACCAUCAUCAUUAUCACCAUCAUCAUCACCAUC